rnacentral:rRNA from 1 species
GACGGAGGAUGCAAGUGUUAUCCGGAAUCACUGGGCGUAAAGCGUCUGUAGGUGGUCAAAUAAGUCAACUGAUUAAAUCGUUGAGGCUUAACCCUCAAAAUCGCAGUCGAAACUAUUAGACUAGAGUAUAGUAGGGGUAAAGGGAAGUUUCCAAGUGGAGCGGUGAAAUGCGUAGAGAUUGGAAAGAACACCGAUGGCGAAGGCACUUUACUGGGCUAUUACUAACACUCAGAGACGGAAAGCUAAGGGUAGCAAAUGGG